rnacentral:miRNA from 15 species
AGUUAGUUAUUAGUCCCCCAGG